rnacentral:rRNA from 1 species
GGAUCAUUAAAGAGAUCAUGCCCUCACGGGUAGACCUCCCACCCUUUGUAUAUCAUACUUUGUUGCUUUGGCGAGCCUGUUCGGCUUCGGCAGGACUACCGGCCUCGGCUGGUCCGCGCUCGCCAGAGGACCCAAAACUCUGAAUUAUAAUGCCGUCUGAGUACUAUAUAAUAGUUAAAACUUUCAACAACGGAUCUCUUGGUUCUGGCAUCGAUGAAGAACGCAGCGAAAUGCGAUAAGUAAUGUGAAUUGCAGAAUUCAGUGAAUCAUCGAAUCUUUGAACGCACAUUGCGCCCUCUGGUAUUCCGGGGGGCAUGCCUGUUCGAGCGUCAUUACAACCCUCAAGCUCUGCUUGGUAUUGGACCUCCGCCUCCCCGGCGGGUCUCAAAAUCAGUGGCGGCGUCAUCUGACUCUAAGCGUAGUAAAUUCUCUCGCUCUGGAGCCUCGGGCGACUGCUUGCCAUCGAACCCCCAAUUUUUAAAGGUUGACCUCGGAUCAGGUAGGGAUACCCGCUGAACUUAAGCAUAUCAAUAAGCGGAGGAAAAGAAACCAACAGGGAUUACCUCAGUAACGGCGAGUGAAGCGGUAACAGCUCAAAUUUGAAAUCUGGCCCUUUCAGGGUCCGAGUUGUAAUUUGUAGAGGAUGUUUCGGGUGUGGCUCCGGUCUAAGUUCCUUGGAACAGGACGUCAUAGAGGGUGAGAAUCCCGUAUGUGACUGGUUGCCUAUGCCCAUGUGAAACUCCUUCGACGAGUCGAGUUGUUUGGGAAUGCAGCUCAAAAUGGGUGGUAAAUUUCAUCUAAAGCUAAAUAUUGGCCAGAGACCGAUAGCGCACAAGUAGAGUGAUCGAAAGAUGAAAAGCACUUUGGAAAGAGAGUUAAACAGUACGUGAAAUUGUUGAAAGGGAAGCGCUUGCAACCAGACUUGCACUUGGUCGAUCAUCCUCUGUUCUCAGUGGUGCACUCGAUCUCGUUCAGGCCAGCAUCGGUUUUGGUGGUUAGAUAAAGGCCUUAGGAAUGUAGCUUCCCUCGGGGAGUGUUAUAGCCUAGGGUGCAAUGUAGCCUACCGGGACCGAGGACCGCGCUUCGGCUAGGAUGCUGGCGUAAUGGUUGUAAGCGACCCGUCUUGAAACACGGACCAAGGAGUCUAACAUCUAUGCGAGUGUUUGGGUGUUAAACCCAUACGCGUAAUGAAAGUGAACGUAGGUGUGAACCCUUAAGGGUGCAACAUCGACCGAUCUUGAUGUCUUCGGAUGGAUUUGAGUAAGAGCAUAGCUGUUGGGACCCGAAAGAUGGUGAACUAUGCCUGAAUAGGGUGAAGCCAGAGGAAACUCUGGUGGAGGCUCGCAGCGGUUCUGACGUGCAAAUCGAUCGUCAAAUUUGGGUAUAGGGGCGAAAGACUAAUCGAACCAUCUAGUAGCUGGUUCCUGCCGAAGUUUCCCUCAGGAUAGCAGUGUUGAAUUCAGUUUUAUGAGGUGGAGCAAAUGAUUAGAGGCCUUGGGGGUUGAAACAACCUUAAC